UACGUAGGGUGCGAGCGUUAAUCGGAAUUACUGGGCGUAAAGCGUGCGCAGGCGGUGAUGUAAGACAGAUGUGAAAUCCCCGGGCUCAACCUGGGAACUGCAUUUGUGACUGCAUCGCUGGAGUGCGGUAGAGGGGGAUGGAAUUCCGCGUGUAGCAGUGAAAUGCGUAGAUAUCUGGAGGAACACCGGUGGCGAAGGCGGCAUCCUGGACCGGUAUUGACGCUGAGGCGCGAAAGCCAGGGGAGCAAACGGG
rnacentral:rRNA from 1 species